GCCAAUAUGGUGUAGUGGUUUGAGUGUUGGACUAUGACUCUGGAGACCAGGGUUCAAAUCCCUGCUCGAACA
rnacentral:tRNA from 1 species